GGGAAUGUGGCUUAGUGGUAGAGUACUUGCCUAGCAUGCAUGAAGCCCUGAGUUCGAUUCCCCAGUACCCA
rnacentral:tRNA from 1 species